GCUUUCGUGGUGUAGUGGUAAGCACGCUCGACGCAUAACCGAGAGGUCCGUGGUUCGAUUCCUGGCGAAGGCG
rnacentral:tRNA from 1 species